GGUGGGCACUCUAAGGAGACUGCCGGUGACAAACCGGAGGAAGGUGGGGAUGACGUCAAGUCAUCAUGGCCCUUACGGCCUGGGCUACACACGUGCUACAAUGGUCGGUACAGAGGGUUGCCAAGCCGCGAGGUGGAGCUAAUCUCACAAAACCGAUCGUAGUCCGGAUCGCAGUCUGCAACUCGACUGCGUGAAGUCGGAAUCGCUAGUAAUCGCGAAUCAGAAUGUCGCGGUGAAUACGUUCCCGGGCCUUGUACACACCGCCCGUCACACCAUGGGAGUGGGUUGCACCAGAAGUAGCUAGUCUAACCUUCGGGGGGACGGUUACCACGGUGUGAUUCAUGACUGGGGUGAAGUCGUAACAAGGUAGCCGUAGGGGAACCUGCGGCUGGAUCACCUCCUUAAUCGACGAC
rnacentral:rRNA from 1 species